AUGUAAGUCAUAAAUAGAGCAUACCUCAAAAUGAUAAAGGCCAUAUAUAACAAACUCAUAGCUAAUAUUAUACUGAAUGGGAAAAAAAUGAAAAGCCUUUCCACUAAGAUUUGAAAUAGGACAAAGAUGCCCACUUUCACAACUUAUAUUCAACAUAGUAAUGGAAGUCCUAGCCAGAGCAAUUAGGGAAGUGAAAGAAAUAAAGCAGAUCAAAAUUGAAAAAGAAGUCAAAUUAUCCUUUUCUAUAAAAAACAUGAUCUUAUACUUAGAAAAACAUAAAGACUCCCCCCCAAAAAUUAAAAUGAAUAAGCACAUUUAGUAAAGUUGCAAAAUAAAAAAUUAAUCUGCAAUAAUCAGCAUUUCUAUAUGCCAACAGUAAACAAUCUGCAAAAGAGAUCAGAAAGGCAAUCCCAUUUCCAAUAGCAAAAAAAAAGAAAA